UCAAAGGAGGAAUUAUUGCACUGGGCACUGAAUUCAUAUGAGUGACAACGCAUAUUUGUGGGCCUCAGAAACCCACUUAAACUGAUCGA
rnacentral:snoRNA from 1 species